CUUUAUUCUUUCCCCCAUCUCUCCAAGAGUGCAUGCCACUGGGAAAGUCACUCUGUGCCCAGUGAUGAGAUGAAGUGAUGCUAAUGUAGUCCCCACUGUGAUCCAGCUCUGGUGUACAAUGACCAUUACUCUGUAAUCCCCAGCUGAAGUGUGUUUUACAGGUACCUGGCUACAACUUUUCUAACUAGUUUUACUGAAGCCUUGCAAUUGUUUGGAAACCCUGUAAGACAGCUCUCCUCCAAGACUCCAGAAGCCAUUUGUGCCACACUCUACCAUGGACCUCCCAAUCACAUCUCACAACAAACUUCUGUAGGGGAAGGUCACAACAAAAACUGUGCCAUAGGAAGACAUCAGGGAAUCAAAGGAUGUUACUAAUGCCCUGCAUUAAUUGCUCUAGAAAGUAUGUAUUAGAUAAAAAAAAAAAAAACACUGAAGAUUUAGGAGUGUGGCCCUAUGUUACAGAGACUGGAUGGAUGGAUGCAGAAAAUAGUUACUGGCAGGCUGAACUGGGGGAAAGUUUCUUCUAGACCUCACAUUUGGUAAUUAAUAUACUCUAUUUUCAUGCUGGUGGCAUUUGGUUUUUCUAGUGCUGGCACUGCUAGGAGUAACAGUGCAUGUCAAUGGCCAGCUGGCCAAAUUAGGGGUUGUCAGUAGAAGGUAGGGACUGCUCCCAGCCAAAUGAUAGAGACAGGGAAAGUUCUGAAAUGGAAAAGCCAAACUAUUACAUUUCAAUCUUUAGGAGCUAGUUUACCCUCCUGAAGUAUGAGUAGAAUUAGAGAAAAAUAUACUGUUUCCCAUCUCCUAUCUUAUUCUCUGCUUACAGCUGUUUGAUAAAAUGACAUUCUGCUGCUUGUGUUUUGGUAACACAACUGUAUCAUGGUACAGCCCUUCAAACACAAGUCACUUUUUCCUUCGGGACCUUUGCCUGGUAGAUCACCUCACUAUCACAGGAAUAGCCCACAUCUUCCCCUUAUCUCUCCUGAGUCAGCACCACUAGUCAGCAAUUCAACACUGACCCCGCCAGACCUCACCCUCAGCUAGAAAUGGGUGUUGGUUUAUCAGCACUCUCUGCUCAGGCUGCACAGCCAUGACAUGGGGAUUCUAGCAAUGAACCAUCUGUCCCCUAUCCCAUCCAUCUCCAGG
ensembl:lncRNA